rnacentral:rRNA from 1 species
CGUAGGGUGCAAGCGUUAAUCGGAAUUACUGGGCGUAAAGCGUGCGCAGGCGGUUAUAUAAGACAGAUGUGAAAUCCCCGGGCUCAACCUGGGAACUGCAUUUGUGACUGUAUAGCUAGAGUACGGUAGAGGGGGAUGGAAUUCCGCGUGUAGCAGUGAAAUGCGUAGAUAUGCGGAGGAACACCGAUGGCGAAGGCAACCCCCUGGACCUGUACUGACGCUCAUGCACGAAAGCGUGGGGAGCAAACAGGAUUAGAUACCCUGGUAGUCCACGCCCUAAACGAUGUCAACUGGUUGUUGGGUCUUCACUGACUCAGUAACGAAGCUAACGCGUGAACGUUGACCGCCUGGGGAGUACGGCCGCAAGGUUGA